rnacentral:lncRNA from 1 species
UCCAAUGCUUAUCCGAUGUCUCGGGCCUUCAUCACGAACGUCUUCCACCAACAUAAUACAUCAGGGCAUUCCCCGGUGAAUAAAUACAAUGUGUCUUGGGGCAUUCCCUGACUCCAAAUGCGAGAAAGACAAACCAUUUCACAAACAUUCCAAACACAUAUUUAAACAUUCAACACAUUCAAUCAACACACCACUCCUAAAUUUUACCUACCCGAACCUAAACAUUUUACCUAUCCAAUGCGACCUAUCAUGAUACUAUAGAAUUUACAAACUUCAUUCCGAAUUAAGCAAAACAACAAAGAACCAACAUUAAACCAAAUUUACCCUUUUAUCAAUCUCGCAAUUCCACCCCAAAUUCUCUUCUCAACACUAAAUUUCCACAAUUCACAAUUUCUAUUUCAACAAUCCACAAUCACUUUUCAACAAAAAUUAAGCAACAAGUCAAUAUCAAAGUAGCAAUUUAUCACCAACCAUGAUCAAACAACACACGAGAUUCCAUCCAAUGCACCAUAUUCCAUCAAUAAUGAAAAAAAAAAAGGAAAAGAGUAGAAAUGGACCUCAAUCAUGAUUUUAUUUCAAAUAUAAAUCAAUCGAAAAGAUGACUCUGCAUGACGAAGAACCCCGAAUCAGCCUUGAAGAAUACCACAACUCAACUAUGAACCAACUCCAACACGAAAAUCUUCGAAACCCGAUCCAAAUACAACACCAGUGUUAAAUUGUUUAGAAUCGCUUUUAAAAAAACAUGUUGAUGGUGCUACUAUUGUUCACUUAUUUCCGAUAGUAUCUCCUAAAAAUUAGAAAGAAACGAUGAGUUAUGUUGGGUUUUCGGCACGGGAUGAGUUAACUCGAACGGAUGGUGCUAAUUUCGGAGAGAAUCUUGUUGGGAAAACUUGAGAAUCCCUUUAUCUCUGGUUUUCUCACACUCUGACCAGUGCUAUCUUUCACUCUCCUUGUUUUCUCAAUUUCUCUCUCAAUAGAUCUCUCCCACUCCUAUCUUAGUCUCUUCGGUCACCUCACUCCUCAAUUUCCCUAUACCAGUCUAUGUGUCCCCAGAUAUCAUGAGGUUGGUGAGUAUAUCCGUGAGCCAGAAGAAAUAAAAGAUGAUGAGUGGAAGAAUGAAGUAUCUUGCUGUGAUGAUAUAAGAUGGAGAAGAUGAAGUUGAUGGUGUCCCCCCUCUGUAUUGUUACUGUGAGUGUAUAUAUGAAUUGGGGAAUUCCCUGUGGGGCCC